rnacentral:rRNA from 1 species
UACGGGGGGGGGCAAGCGUUGUUCGGAUUUACUGGGCGUAAAGGGCGCGUAGGCGGCGUGUUAAGUCACUUGUGAAAUCUCUAAGCUUAACUUAGAACGGUCAAGUGAUACUGAUGUGCUAGAGUGCAGAAGGGGCAACCGGAAUUCUUGGUGUAGCGGUGAAAUGCGUAGAUAUCAAGAGGAACACCUGGAGGUGAAGACGGGUUGCUGGGCUGACACUGACGCUGAGGCGCGAAAGCUAGGGUAGCAAACGGG